AUGUCGGAUGCAUUACAUGGAGCACAAUCCAAUGAUUCCUAUACAUUGACCAUGAAAUUCAUGUUCUACAAUGUGAAUGUAAAACUAUUUGGUAGUAGACAACUUUGCCCCCAUUCACCACUUUGCAAUCAACAACUUGGCCUUAUUCUCCACCUUGCAAUCAACAACUUAGCCCCCAUUCUCCACCUUGCAAUCAACAACUUGACCCUCAUUCUCCACCUAGCAUCAACAACUUUGACCCUCAUUCUCCACCUUGCAAUUAACAACUUAGCCAUGGACCAUUCAAUUACCUGGGCCAUCUACGGCAAUAAAAAAAAGCUGACAUGA
rnacentral:rRNA from 1 species